AAGAUGGCGGCAUAAGGCACGUGCAUUGUCCACAUGACACCAGGUUCGGUCCUUAAAAACAAAAAUAAGCAACAGUCUUCCCAUCAGCCCCGAAUCACCUCCCCCACCAAUUGUUCAAGGAAUGAUUGUCCCCCUAAAGCACACCUGGCGGCCGAGCGUGCUUGUGUUCGAGCUGCCCCGCCCCCCAUGCCAGUUUCGAAAACCAAACCAAACCAACGACUAAGCGAACCAACAACACAGGGACUCCAGAGGGGGACACUCUUUUUAUUUAUUUGUGUUUGAGAUAUACUUGGGAUAUAACAUCAUGUGAGUCAGGUAAAGACACGGAGGCUGUGUGGGUGGACGGACUUGCUCACCGCAGGGAGGAAAUCGUGGAGACGGGCUUGGUGGCCAGAUGGCGGACCUCCAGAGCCCCCUCUCUGGAGUUCCUACACCCAGCCAUCACUCUGGUGGCUGUCGAGGCCCCUGAGAUGGGGUUCAGACUCCACGGCCCACGCCCCCGCACCUGCGAGGUUGCCGGUCUCCUCUCCUGCCAUCGCCCUGAUGUCCUUCCAUUCCUGCCAUAGUGGCCUCCUCUCCGUCCCCUGGGACAGAAGUCUGAUCCUAUCUCAGGACCUUUGCACACCUCGUUUCAGAACCUGGACCACACCUUCCCUUUUUGCAUAAAUCCUUCACGCUCA